rnacentral:rRNA from 7 species
GAGUGGCGGACGGGUGAGUAAUGCUUGGGAACUUGCCUUUGCGAGGGGGAUAACAGUUGGAAACGACUGCUAAUACCGCAUAAUGUCUUCGGACCAAACGGGGCUUCGGCUCCGGCGCAAAGAGAGGCCCAAGUGAGAUUAGCUAGUUGGUAAGGUAACGGCUUACCAAGGCGACGAUCUCUAGCUGUUCUGAGAGGAAGAUCAGCCACACUGGGACUGAGACACGGCCCAGACUCCUACGGGAGGCAGCAGUGGGGAAUAUUGCACAAUGGGGGAAACCCUGAUGCAGCCAUGCCGCGUGUGUGAAGAAGGCCUUCGGGUUGUAAAGCACUUUCAGUUGUGAGGAAAAGUUAGUAGUUAAUACCUGCUAGCCGUGACGUUAACAACAGAAGAAGCACCGGCUAACUCCGUGCCAGCAGCCGCGGUAAUACGGAGGGUGCGAGCGUUAAUCGGAAUUACUGGGCGUAAAGCGCACGCAGGCGGUUUGUUAAGCUAGAUGUGAAAGCCCCGGGCUCAACCUGGGAUGGUCAUUUAGAACUGGCAGACUAGAGUCUUGGAGAGGGGAGUGGAAUUCCAGGUGUAGCGGUGAAAUGCGUAGAUAUCUGGAGGAACAUCAGUGGCGAAGGCGACUCCCUGGCCAAAGACUGACGCUCAUGUGCGAAAGUGUGGGUAGCGAACAGGAUUAGAUACCCUGGUAGUCCACACCGUAAACGCUGUCUACUAGCUGUGUGUG